rnacentral:rRNA from 1 species
UUAUACCUACGGGGGGCAGCAGUGGGGAAUAUUGGGCAAUGGGCGCAAGCCUGACCCAGCAACGCCGCGUGAAGGAAGAAGGCUUUCGGGUUGUAAACUUCUUUUCUCAGGGACGAAGCAAGUGACGGUACCUGAGGAAUAAGCCACGGCUAACUACGUGCCAGCAGCCGCGGUAAUACGUAGGUGGCAAGCGUUACCCGGAUUUACUGGGUGUAAAGGGCGUGUAGGCGGGACUGCAAGUCAGAUGUGAAAACC